rnacentral:rRNA from 1 species
AGAGUUUGAUCMUGGCUCAGGWYGAACGCURGYDRCRBGBHUHANRCAUGCAAGUCGAGGGGCAGCAUGAAAGUAGCUUGCUACUUUUGAUGGCGACCGGCGCACGGGUGCGUAACGCGUAUCCAAUCUACCCAUGGCUCAGGGAUAGCCUUUCGAAAGAAAGAUUAAUACCUGAUGGUUUCGCUUUUCCGCAUGGUUUAGCGAAUAAAGAUUUAUCGGCGAUGGAUGAGGAUGCGACUGAUUAGGUUGUUGGCGGGGUAACGGCCCACCAAGCCCACGAUCAGUAGGGGUUCUGAGAGGAAGGUCCCCCACAUUGGAACUGAGACACGGUCCAAACUCCUACGGGAGGCAGCAGUGAGGAAUAUUGGUCAAUGGACGAGAGUCUGAACCAGCCAAGUAGCGUGAAGGAUGACGGCCCUAUGGGUUGUAAACUUCUUUUGUUUGGGAAUAAAGUGCUCUACGUGUAGAGUUUUGUAUGUACCUUACGAAUAAGCAUCGGCUAAUUCCGUGCCAGCAGCCGCGGUAAUACGGAAGAUGCGAGCGUUAUCCGGAUUUAUUGGGUUUAAAGGGAGCGUAGGCGGACCUUUAAGUCAGCGGUAAAAUGUCAAUGCCCAACAUUGGCCCGCCGUUGAUACUGUUGGUCUUGAAUACACACAAGGAAGGUGGAAUUCGUUGUGUAGCGGUGAAAUGCUUAGAUAUGACGAAGAACUCCGAUUGCGAAGGCAGCCUUCUGGGGUGCGAUUGACGCUGAGGCUCGAAAGUGCGGGUAUCAAACAGGAUUAGAUACCCUGGUAGUCCGCACAGUAAACGAUGAAUGCUCGUUCUUGGUGAUAUACUAUCAGGAACCAAGGGAAACCAUUAAGCAUUCCACCUGGGGAGUACGCCGGCAACGGUGAAACUCAAAGGAAUUGACGGGGGCCCGCACAAGCGGUGGAUUAUGUGGUUUAAUUCGAAGCAACGCGAAGAACCUUACCAGGGCUUGACAUCCUACUAACGAGGUAGAGAUACGUUAGGUGCCCUUCGGGGAAAGUAGAGACAGGUGGUGCAUGGUUGUCGUCAGCUCGUGUCGUGAGAUGUUGGGUUAAGUCCCGCAACGAGCGCAACCCUUAUUGUUAGUUGCUACGCAAGAGCACUCUAGCGAGACUGCCGUUGACAAAACGGAGGAAGGUGGGGACGACGUCAAAUCAUCAUGCCCCUUAUGUCCUGGGCUACACACGUAAUACAAUGGCGGUCAACAGAGGGAUGCAAAGCCGCAAGGCAGAGCGAACCCCUAAAAGCCGUCCCAGUUCAGAUUGUGGGCUGCAACCCGCCCACAUGAAGUCGGAAUCGCUAGUAAUCGCGGAUCAGCAUGCCGCGGUGAAUACGUUCCCGGGCCUUGUACACACCGCCCGUCACACCAUGAGAGUCGGGAACACCCGAAGUCCGUAGCCUAACCGCAUGGGGGGCGCGGCCGAAGGUGGGUUCGAUAAUUGGGGUGAAGUCGUAACAAGGUAGCC